rnacentral:rRNA from 1 species
GAUGAACGCUGGCGGCGUGCAUAACACAUUCAAGUCGAACGGAGUUUAUGGAAGGAAGUCUUCGGAUGGAAUGAAGUAAACUUAGUGGCGGACGGGUGAGUAACGCGUGAGCAACCUGCCUUGGCAUGGGGGAUAACGUUUGGAAACGGACGCUAAUACCGCAUAUCGCAUAGGGACCGCAUGAUCCUUAUGCAAAAGAUUUAUUGUGCUAAGAUGGGCUCGCGUCCCAUUAGAUAGUUGGGGAGGUAACGGCCCACCAAGUCGACGAUGGGUAGCCGAACUGAGAGGUUGAACGGCCACAUUGGAACUGAGAUACGGUCCAGACUCCUACGGGAGGCAGCAGUGGGGAAUAUUGGGCAAUGGGCGAAAGCCUGACCCAGCGACGCCGCGUGAGGGAAGAAGGUCUUCGGAUUGUAAACCUUUGUUGAUAGGGACGAACAGAUGACGGUACCUAUCGAGGAAGCCACGGCUAACUACGUGCCAGCAGCCGCCGUAACAC